CCGGCUGAACGGCAGCCAUCUGACGAGCAACCUCCUGAGCAGCUACUCGGGCGGCCUCCUGAGCGGCCUGCCUGGCUGCCUCCUGGGCAAUCUGCUGAAGUGCUUCCUGAGCGGCCUGUCUAGCGGCAUCCUGAACCAUCUGUCUCAAUGCAUCCUGAUCAACUGGUGGAGCCGCGGGUGGUGGAACUGCGGGCUGCUCAUGCUCAUCUACAUUGUCUCUAACGGCUCUGGCGGUCUGGGCACGGGUGGUUCUUCUCCUUGGCGGCAUCUAAAAGGAAAGCGAAAAGUUAACUUACGCUGAACUUUGGAUACCAACAUUUUAAGGAGCAGUGAUAUCGAACGGAAAGGUGCUAUUUAUUUUUUAUUUUCAAAAUUCUCAAAUCCCCGAAAAUAUUUUGAAAUCGUGUAAAACCGUCAAAACCGAAUAAAACCAGGUCUCCAAAAAUCGCCAUCCCGGGUCGGAGCCGGGACGGAACCCGCUCUGAUACCAAAUUGUGACACCCGCCACUUUCAAAAUAUAAUAAAUUGAUAAAAGCGGAAAUAAAAUAAUAAUACAACUCAAAUAAUAAUAAUCUUCAUAUAAUAUAAAAGUCAAUACGGUAACAAAAGGCCUAAAAGCCCAACAUUGAUAACAUCCGAAAUAUAAAAUACGAUAUAAACCGAAAGUCUGAAAUAGGAAUAACAUAGACGAUAAAAGUCCAAAGGCCUAAAGGCCCGAUAAAGAUAAAACCGGUAAAAGCGAUAGAAGCCCAAAAGCCCAAUAGCACUGGUCCGAUAAUCACUCCUGCUCAUCGGUCUCACCUAAAAGGGGGAAAGAAUGAGGGGUGAGCGACAGGGGAAUCGCUCAGCGAGGUAUGGGAUGCUACCCCGAAGUCCAUGGACCCGGACAUAGCACUCCGAAUAAAUAUAAUUUAAUUCUAAUGCAUGUCAAACACAGUACCUAAAGUACUCAAGCAACAAACAAUGGUCCUAGCGAGGUGCACACUCGCCGCCCACUAACAGGCCAAAACACUACCGAAAAGGUGCUCGGUUCAUACACACACCGAAAAAGUGCUCGGUAACACACGCCCGUAGACGAUUUAUCGACACUUCCAGUCUACAGCUCAACCGGUCGACUAAAGUUGGCUGUGACCUCCAUACAAUCCGGCAUACAGCAGUCCGACUCUGUAUCCGUCUCCAAACAAAAACAAUCCUAGCUAAGAAUUUACAUUAAGUGAAACAAUCAAUGUUGAAUCCUCUAACCCCCUAGUUCCGGUUUAUGCAAAGAACCUAAAACUAAACAAGCAAUGACAGACUCGAUUUCACACAGACGGAACACAUUAGAAAUAAAUUAUACUUAUUCGAGGUCCUAAGCCGAAUAAGAGGAGUUCGGGAAUAGACCCUCACCUUAGCAACAAUAAGAGGUGGUAUCUAUGAACUCCAGCUGCUCAAAUGGACUCCAAAUCUGAAAUCAGAUCGAAAUUUCGAGUCAGAACGCCUUUCGAACGGUUUAAAACGGGUAUUUACGGAAAAGUCAACCCGCUGGU
rnacentral:lncRNA from 1 species